rnacentral:rRNA from 1 species
GACGAACGCUGGCGGCGUGCUUAACACAUGCAAGUCGAACGGAAAGGCCCUGCUUUUGUGGGGUGCUCGAGUGGCGACCGGGUGAGUAACACGUGAGUAACCUGUCCUUGCCUUUGGGAUAACUUCAGGAAACUGGGGCUAAUACCGGAUAGGAGCUCUUGCUGCAUGGUGGGGGUUGGAAAGUUUCGGCGGUUGGGGAUGGACUCGCGGCUUAUCAGCUUGUUGGUGUGGUAGUGGCUUACCAAGGCUUGGACGGGUAGCCGGCCUGAGAGGGGGACCGGCCACAUUGGGACGGAGAUACGGCCCAGACUCCUACGGGAGGCAGCAGUGGGGAAUAUUGCACAAUGGGCGGAGGCCUGAUGCAGCAACGCCGCGUGCGGGAUGACGGCCAGCGGGUUGUAAUCCACUUUCGCCUUUGACGAAGCGUGAGUGACGGUAAUGGGUAAAGAAGCACCGGCUAACUACGUG